GACGAACGCUGGCGGCGUGCCUAACACAUGCAAGUCACAGGAGAAAGGGGUAGCAAUAUCCCGAGUACACUGGCGAAAGGGUGCGUAUGACAUGAAGAACGUACCCCUCCGUUCGGAAUAACCCCGCGAAAGCGGGGCUAAUACCGGAUACGGCCGCGGCGAUGCCUGUCGCUGCGGUGAAAGUCGCAAGACGCGGAUGGAGCGCUUCAUGGCCUAUCAGCUAGUUGGCGGGGUAACGGCCCACCAAGGCGAUGACGGGUAGCCGGACUGAGAGGUCGACCGGCCACACGGGGACUGAGACACGGCCCCGACAUCUACGGAUGGCAGCAGUAGGGAAUAUUGCGCAAUGGGCGAAAGCCUGACGCAGCGACGCCGCGUGGGGGAUGAAGGCCUUCGGGUUGUAAACCCCUUUCCAUGUGGGACGAACUCUGACUUAACCACAGGAAGAAGCACCGGCUAACUCCGUGCCAGCAGCUGCGGUAAGACGGAGAGUGCAAACGUUGUUCGGU
rnacentral:rRNA from 1 species